rnacentral:lncRNA from 1 species
UCGAAGUUCGUAGCACACGCUCGUCAUGGUCAUUCGUCGUCCUCUUCGUGUGGGCUGAGUAGCCGUGAAAUAAGUUUCGGUGUGACAAAAAGUCUAAGUUAGAUACGCAAAAUCCAAGGUUUUGUUUUUUAUCUUCGUUUCUACUAUGGUGCUUGGCAUUCAACAUUUUCGAUUAUUCCCUUGGGCAGAAAAAUGACACGUGGGAAGGAAGAGGCACCAGAAUUUAAGUCCACUUUGCAAAACAACAAGUAAACCCAAUGCUCCAAACAGUGCAAAGAAGAUCAGCUCAUGACAAUGUUAUAUGUGCUGGCUGAACUAAGGCUUAUUUCUGGCACUAAGAUUUUAUUCAAGGUUAACCACAUAGCUACAAAUUCACAAGAAUUCAUGUGAAAGUUAAAAGACACUGUCUUCACAGAGCACACAGUAUGCUGGCUGUUUGUGUUAAAGGGGUAAAAUGAGUUAGUAAACUCAGAAAACUACCAGCUAAGCAACAUCAAGUAAUUGCCACCGAACCUUGCUUGAAAUACGUGGUGGCCGUUGUAAUAAAGAACUACGAUUUUAUAUUUCCGUAAUAAGCAAAUGCCGCUUCGUUGCUGACGGAGUGCAAAGCUGUAGAAAUAAAGCACUUGAAAGACUAGGGUGAGUUCCUUUAGUAUUUACUUCAAGAAAAUAUAAUGCUUCAGUUGUCUUCGUACGAAAUCAAGCUUUGGAUUUGGAAGCAUCGGACAUUUUCAACGAUUCGACGCUCCCAGGGAGAAUCAAGUUCGCCAUCAACGAAUGUCCAAUUUUGCGCUACAAUUAUUCACACCCUCAAAUGGGACAGGUUUUCUUCCCGUGCCGGUUGUUUGAGUACAAUCGAAAAGAAAAAAAUGUCGGGAUUCAUGGCCAAGCAGUGACUAAUAGUAAAUUAAGCGCUACAUGCUUGUGUCAACAAGUGACAAUCUCCUUUAAAAAAAAAAAGACACGGCAUGCCAAUCCAUCAGAUCCACUUUUGCUGCUCAUUUCCAAUUUGAUUUGGUGUCAACAAAAAAGAUAGUUUCAAUGAAAAAUUCUAUUGUCGUCUGGAGCUCGUCGUCAUUUUAUUGGCGACAGUUUUGGUCUGUCUGACGACGAUGUCUGAAUCCAUUGUCUAUUUCAGAACCAGUUUCCUUUUUUUUUUUCGUGAUCAACCUCGUAGCCGAUGACCCCAAAACCCAAUAACAAAGAGAGAAAAAAAGAAAAUCAGUUCCUUUUCUUGAGUUUACUGCAACAUGGGAAUGUAAUUGACCGUUUUUUAGGGGGGAUUACGACACAACAGUAUGUGUACUACAUGUAUAAACGAGUGCAGGUAGAGGCGACGGCCACGGCAGUUUGAAUUGAUUAAAGUGCUGCAAUGGCCAACUGCCUUUAUUUUUUAAUUGGCAACAUACGGCUGAAAAACGUGACACAUUGUCUACACUCUGCUUAAAAUCUGAAAUCAAUACGUUAUCGACCACACACACCCAAAAAAAAUUUAACGGUCAUAGUUUUUUGUGUAGGAUUCCAAAUACAUGACGACACCCCAGAAAAAGAAUUGGGAACGGAAAUGUACACUGCGGAUAAUAUUUUAUUUGUGGAGGUUUUUCGAGCUGAGAAAAAAGAAAACUUUCGCACUGUGUUCAACAGAAAAUACUGGUACAGGUAUAAUUUUUUUUUUCCAUCUUGUGGUCAGCACUGCUGGCCGUGCCCAUCAGCUUACUCAUACAAACAUUCUAGAGAAAUAGCUCCGAGCUAUGACAACGAUAUGAAUGAAAUAUCUCUCCCCUUCAAACAACUAAAAGCAAAAAAGAAGAACUCGUGAAACCAGGUGAAAGCUUUUUGUUGAAGGUAUAUAGGUAAAAUAAUAAUAAAAAAAGGAACAGAGACGUUUAAAGGCGGAUAUUAAAACAAGCCAGUUCAUGCCAAGAAGAUAAAAAAGAAUACAAGAAUAAAGGAGACGAUGAAACAAUGGGAGAAAUUCGUGAAGCGAUGCGAUUUCACGCUCCGUGAUGCAGCGCAGACCUACACACGAGAGGUUGGGGGGUUAAGUUUUUUUCUAUUUUAUUUUCUAUCUUCGUACGUAUUUUGGCCUUUAUUUAUUGCUAAGAAACAUAAAAAGCGAGAGCUUCUAUCGAUUCGGUUGAGGAAGUUCUUAAAGCCCAGCACACCAUUCAUUUCUGUUGUGAGCAGGAGUGAAAGCCUUCGCCGUCUUACGUGAUGUUUAAUGCAUCACACAUUCUCUGCCUGAAAAGAGCCUGUAGCUGCUACAGCAGCGGCUAAGCACCGUGCGUAGGUGUUCCACGGACAACUAGAGUUUACGUGAUAUGCCUUGGAGCUGGCAUCGUUCAAAGUCACACAAAAUGUGAUUGUGUGAUCAUGAUGAUUAGCACCGCCAUUGUUAGUAUAUAGAGCAUCAAUCGCUUGCAAACGGAUGUAAAUGCAAUUUCUUCGUUUGCGUUGUUGACGUUGUGUUAGUGAAAGAAGAAAGGGCCGCGCCUUUUGUUUGUUUUUUCUGUGUUCUCUUGUUUGUUUGAUGACGCCAAUCACAGCAGUCCAUUGUGUACCAAAGACCAGUCGAUAACAACAACAAAGCAAAAUUCGCUUGGAUUUUAGACAAAUUAUUGACUGAUAGAUGGCGUUGGCCGAAGCAGACGCCCAUCCUUUUUUGGUCUAGCACUGUAGUGGGUACCUCCUUCGCUCGUGGAUCUCAGUGCUGAGGGAACCACGGUUGCUCGUGUGUAAUGCGUGGUCCGUGUCUUAACAAAAGUUGACUGUCAAGCCGAACGUUUCAUGCUUCAUCAUUGUGAGUGCACGUCGUCGUGUCGUCUAAUAACUUGUGCUAUGUAAUUCAUCACUCAGUUCGCCCUUUUGUUAAACCUCGGGAUGAAAGAUGAUGAGACAGUUCUCCAGUUUUAGUGAAAUAGUUAACCUAAAGAAUUCGUUGCUUUCGACCUUUUCGAAAGUGAAUUGAAGCGUGGAAAGGAAAAUUCUUUUUUCCAAGCCAUCAACUGCAGCAACCAAAAGGAAGCAGUCGAUUUGUCUUGCGUGUGUCUGUGUAUAGACAGUGGCGCCAUUUGGAAAAAGCCCCCUCGUUGUCUGCGUGUGUGUGUGAUUCAUCCACUGCGCUUUUGCCUUCUUCUAGAGAUUGGCAGACCUCAUCGACAACAACGUGCCGCUCCCUUUUGAAUUAUCUUUGUAUCGCAUUUUCCGGUGGAUCAGAAUAACAACAA